GGGGGGCACUGCCCCGGUCCCCCCGGGAGCAGCUGCCUUUGGGGGAUGUGGGGGUGCUGGGAACGGGGGCCCCUCUGGGGAUGUUCCUUCAGGGACACCCCAGCACGGUGGGUGCCGCGGUUCUGUAGGAGCAACGACACGGAUCCAAGCUGUCACAGCCACCUGUGGAGCUCUGGGGACACAGUGACCCCCAAAAAGUCUGUCACAUAUUGGGUGGAGUGAACAAAGAAAAAAAAAAGUUGCCACGACAAGGCCGUGCUGCUCUACGAGUACGUGGGGAAGCGGAUCGUGGACUUGCAGCACACGGAGGUGCCGGAUGCCUAUCGAGGGAGAGGAAUUGCCAAGCACCUGGCAAAGGCAGCCCUGGACUUUGUGGUGGAGGAGGACCUGAAGGCGCACCUGACGUGCUGGUACAUUCAGAAAUACGUCAAGGAGAACCCGCUGCCGCAGUACCUGGAACACUUGCAGCCUUAAGGCAGGACUGCUCCCACACCAGCACACCUGGCCCUGACUGUUCCAGGCAGCCUUGGCUUCUCUGCAGUCUCAGGAAACCCCUUCCCACACUCGCAAUUCCUGGUUUUUGUAGGCGUGAGCGUGGGCACCACCUCCUCCUCUCUGCCCACGUCUGAGCAUGGCUGCAGCCCCUGGGCACACGUGGUGCCCACCAGUGUUUUUGCCAAGCCAGGGGAUAGAAGAGGGUGAAUUUUCCACCUAACUCCAUCGCAAGGCCAGGGCAUGACUUGUUCUGCACCUCAUCCUCUCCCCUCCGCCUGCUGACAGCUCUGAACUUGCUGGGGGAUGUUGGUGAGGGCUGGUCAUGGGGUACCAGCCCCCCUUUCCUCCUGGCAGCUGGGGAGAUGUUGUGGAUUGAGCUUUGUGGGACAGAGGGAGGUGCUGGAGGAGCCCCAGCCCGGUGUCAGCGCCUGGUGGGCACCACGCCGUGCCCAAGCCCACAUGCAGCACGUACAGGAACAUGUGGGCCGUGGUGGCACCUCGGGGGCUUUGCUGCACCGGCUGUGGAGACACUGGGAUGGCGACACCUUCAAGCCCAGAGACAAGAGCCGUGCGAGGAGUGGACUUGGACUGCAGAGGCCGUGGCAGAGUCUGUGCAGAGGAAGAAAUGCGACUGAGUUGCCAAUGCUGCUCCCUGGAGAUGCCAGCUCCUGCCCAGCUUCUGUACACAACCCUGAAGUGGCAUCCCAGAGGGCCAUGGACUGUCAUUCCUGUCUCCCUGCCCUUGGUGUGGACACAGCCUGCUCAGGAGAAGAGACCAGCCCCACAGCCAGCCUUGGCCCAAGCAGUGAGGGACAUCCCAGGGCACCAGGGUGGUUUCCUGCAGCUGAAGAGGAAGGCUUCCCCCAUCUCCCUCUUCUCCAUCUCUGCAUCCCUGUCAGUGCCCCAGAUCAGCCCAUCAGGACAUCCUGAGAGCAGCAGGGUGAGGCUUCCAGGACCUGCUCCUGGCCCGUCUCCAGGGUUCAGUGCUACAGGUACCUGCAUCCACGUGGAUUCCAGUGGCUUCUCCUUCACAGCCUUUGGAAAGAAGCCCUGGCUCAUGGCAUUACCUGUCUGCUCAGGGCCUCCUCGCAGCUCCAAGCUCAGGGCACUGGCAGCAUCGUGGGGACCUUGGCCAGCAGCAGGAACACCCUCAUUUCGUGCUCUUACCUCUGUGGAUGAUGAUUCUGUAGCACAACCCAGCAUUGCCAUGCUUAGAUGUAGGGGUAGCACCAUGCUGGCAGGGCACUGCCAGGUUCCAGCUUGCUGCCUGUCCUGCCUUGCCUGCGUUUUCCAGGGCUUGAGCUACACCUCAGAGCAUCUCACACUGAGCUCUCAGGAUUUUGUAGUGUGCCAAGGCAGGGCUGUGGUGAGGGAGAUGUUUUCAACACCCCCAGCCCUGAGCAGCCACUGGGGGCUGCAGCCAGGCAGGACAUGGAGAGCCUCUCACCUGGAGAUCAAACCCAGACCUUGUUUAGCUCAGCAGGGACUAAAGUUUACAAUCUGUGCCACGGAGUGACUGAAGCCCUAGGUGAGAGGCAGCUCAGCCCUUUCCCAGAGCCCAGCACAAAAUCCAUGGCAGCAAAGGCAAAAACUCAUGCAAAAUCUUCUCUCCUGGUUGGGGUGGCCAGAGAUGGAGACCCUGUGCCAGGAUUUCAGCUUGAGCUGUCCCUGGCCACCAGCUCAAGGGGAACCCUUGCUGCCUGCCCGUGCUUUUGGGCUGCCCAUCACCAGCACAGCACAGCCCUCUCAGGCUUCCAAAACUCCCAGCCUCCAUCCCUGCCCUGCACACUGCAGGCUGUGAGACACCUGCCCGUGCCCACCACCUGUGCCAGGGGGCAGAGGCACCUCCACCUUGUGCUGCUCAGGAAAGGCUUCAAGCUCAGCCCUGCCUCUGCUUCAUUUCUGCCUUCCUGCUGCUUAUUUCACCCAGGCUGUGACCUUUUAGGGUGGCUUUGAGGGACUGGGAAAGGGUGGCAGGUAACAAACUAAAGGGGCUCAAGAAGAAAUGUGGACUGUUAAAUGUUCCCUCUUUAACAUGCAAAACACACUUCAACACAUAGUUACAGGAGCAUGGCUGGCUCUGGUACUGCUGUGAUGACUGAACCAUCCCUUCUCUUUAUUCCAAGGUGAAGCUGAGCUGUUUUGUGCCCUGGAAGCCAAGAUAAGACCCUUGUGUCUUUGCCACAGCAGGGCUGGGUGAGGUGUUUGAGCUCUGUCUUGGUUUUGCGCUCAUUGCCACUGUGUGCAGUGUGCAGCAGCUCCCUGUUGUGUCAGCUCGCUGCAGGGUGUGCUGUGCUCGCUGUCCAGGCAGAUUCCCAUGUCCAGCCUGGCUCUGGAGCCCAGUGCUGCUCUGGCAGGACCCUCGAGCUUCCCGGCGCUGGAUCCCCGCAGCGAUCGCUGCCUUAAACCGGGCACAGCAUCGGUUCUGCUGCUGCUGCUGCUUCCCUUUGAGGUGCUACAACCCCCAUCCCGGGCGCCUGACCUGCCAGAGACGUGUGCCAGUGUCUGUGCCAACCAUUUCCCUGCUGUGCCCAUGCUCUGUCCCAGCCUUUCCUCCUCCUGGAUCCCAGUGAAUAGCAAUACCCACAGGUGACCAGCGAUGCUGCAGGCCACGGUGCUCCUGUGACCCUGCACGGCUGUUGGGACCCGGCUCGGGGUCCCUCGGUGCUGGGUAGCCCUUCCCUGCCUCCCCACCAGCUGCCUUUUCCCAGCUGGUCUCUGCAGAAAGCAGUUUUGAGUCCUGUGCUGCCCCUUGGUGCUGAUUAAGCCUGGAGGAGUUUGGGAUCCUGGACUCUCCCCGGGCAACAGGAGUGUGGAAGUGGUUGGGUUGAAUACUGAGCUCCCCAAACCCGUUUGAACUACGGACCUCUGGUGGGUGGGGGAAUGCAGGUGGCUGUCAAACCUGCUCCCACAGCCCCCAACUUGAAACACCCCCUCUCUCAUCCGCUCUCCAGCGUUGUCUUCCUCUGUCCAAGGUUCCCGUUCUGUUGGAUUCGGUGGUUACGAUGUGCCUUUCCUUCUCAGGACCUGUUACAAACGACCUUUCUGCUCUUGUUUAUGUUUAACAUUUAUCUUGAUCCCUCCCUCUGUCAUACUAUAAAACAUGAACAUAAUGCAUGGAAUACAAUACAAUAAAAGUGUGGCUUA
ensembl:lncRNA